rnacentral:rRNA from 1 species
AGAGUUUGAUCAUGGCUCAGGAUGAACCCUGGCGGUACGCCUAACGCAUGCAAGUCGAACGAAAGCUUUGCUUUAGUGGGGGACGGGUGAGUAAUGCGUAAGAAUCUGCCUUUAGGAGGAAAAUAACAGUUGGAAACGACUGCUAAUGUUCCAUAUGCUUUAGAGUGAAAAGAGGAAUCGCCUGAAGAUGAGCUUGCGUCUGAUUAGCUAGUUGGUAGAGUAAAAGCCUACCAAGGGAACGAUCAGUAACUGGUUUGAGAGGAUGAUCAGUCACACCUGAGAAUCUGAAGAACACGGGUCCAGACUUCUACGGAAGGCAGCAGUGGGGAAUUUUCCGCAAUGGGCGCAAGCCUGACCGAAGCAAUACCGCGUGAGGGAUGAAUGCCUGUGGGUUGUAAACCUUCUUUUAUUAGAGAAGAUUGUGACGGUAUCUAAUGAAUAAGCAUCGGCUAACUCCGUGCCAGCAGCCGCGGUAAUACGGGGGAUGCAAGCGUUAUCCGGAAAUUAUUGGGCGUAAAGAGUCUGUAGGUUGCUUUAUAAGUCUGCUGUUAAAUAUUAGAGCUCAACUCUAACCAAGCAGUGGAAACUAUAGUGCUAGAGUAUGGUAGAGGCAGAGGGGAAUUCCCAGUGUAGCAGUGAAAUGCGUAGAUAUUGGGAAGAACACCAGAAGCGAAGGCGCUCUGCUGGGCCAUUACUGACACUCAGAGACGAAAGCUAGGGGAGCGAAUGGGAUUAGAUACCCCAGUAGUCCUAGCCGUAAACUAUGGAUACUAGAUGUUGCGCGGUAUCGAUCCGUGCGGUAUCGUAGCUAACGCGUUAAGUAUCCCGCCUGGGGAAGUAUGCUCGCAGGGGUGAAACUCAAAGGAAUUGGACGGGGGCCCCGCACAAGGCGGUGGAGCAUGUGGGUUUAAUUCGAUGCAACACGAAGGAACCUUACCAGAACUUGGACAUACUGUGAAUCUUUAUGAAAAUAGAGAGUGCCUUCCGGGAGCAUAAAUAACAGGUGGGUGCAUGGGCUGUCGCCAGCCCGUGUCAAGAGAAUGGUGGGUUAAGUCCCGCAACGAGCGGCAACCCUUGUCUUUAGUGGCCAUCAUAUAGUUGGGUACCUUAAAGAGACUGGCCGGGUGACAAACCGGAGGAAGGUAAGGAAUGAACCUCAAGUCGACCGAUGCCCCUUAAUGUUCUCGGGCUACACACGUGCUACAAUGGCUGUGACAAUAAGUUGCUAACCUGUGAAGGCAAGCUAAUCUAUAAACGCAGUCUCAGUUCGGAUUGUAGGCUGAAACUCGCCUGCAUGAAGGUGGAAUCGCUAGUAAUCGCCGGUCAGCUAUACGGCGGUGAAUCCGUUCCCGGGCCUUGUACACACCGCCCGUCACACCAUGGGAGUUGGCCAUACCCAAAGUUGUAUCUAAACAAUAUACCUAAGGUAGGGCUAGUGACUAGGGUGAAGUCGUAACAAGGUAACC